CGAGGGGAUUUAUCCCCGUUGGACUGCGCAGCAGUCCCAAAUUUUCAGGGUCGCUUCGCAACCCAACGGGGAUAAAUCCCCUCG
rnacentral:misc_RNA from 1 species